AGAGUUUGAUCAUGGCUCAGAUUGAACGCUGGCGGCAGGCCUAACACAUGCAAGUCGAACGGUAACAGGAAGAAGCUUGCUUCUUUGCUGACGAGUGGCGGACGGGUGAGUAAUGUCUGGGAAACUGCCUGAUGGAGGGGGAUAACUACUGGAAACGGUAGCUAAUACCGCAUAACGUCGCAAGACCAAAGAGGGGGACCUUCGGGCCUCUUGCCAUCGGAUGUGCCCAGAUGGGAUUAGCUAGUAGGUGGGGUAACGGCUCACCUAGGCGACGAUCCCUAGCUGGUCUGAGAGGAUGACCAGCCACACUGGAACUGAGACACGGUCCAGACUCCUACGGGAGGCAGCAGUGGGGAAUAUUGCACAAUGGGCGCAAGCCUGAUGCAGCCAUGCCGCGUGUAUGAAGAAGGCCUUCGGGUUGUAAAGUACUUUCAGCGGGGAGGAAGGGAGUAAAGUUAAUACCUUUGCUCAUUGACGUUACCCGCAGAAGAAGCACCGG
rnacentral:rRNA from 1 species